rnacentral:rRNA from 1 species
UACGUAGGGGGCAAGCGUUGUCCGGAAUCAUUGGGCGUAAAGCGCGCGUAGGCGGCUCGAUAAGUCUGCUGUGAAAGUCCAGGGCUCAACCCUGGAAUGCCGGUGGAAACUGUCGAGCUAGAGUACGGAAGAGGUGAGUGGAAUCCCUGGUGUAGCGGUGAAAUGCGCAGAUAUCAGGAGGAACACCAAUGGCGAAGGCAGCUCACUGGGACGUUACUGACGCUGAGACGCGAAAGCGUGGGGAGCAAACAGG